rnacentral:SRP_RNA from 1 species
GACGGGCCUUCCCGCAUGGUUAAGCGGCCAACCGAGUCAGGUGGGGAACCAAGCAGCUCUAACUG